rnacentral:tRNA from 1 species
GGAAGGAUGGCCGAGUGGUUAUGGCGUGUGACUCAAGCAUCUGCUUCUUCGCUUUCUAAAGUGGGGUUUCUCAUGGGCUUAGCCCGCGGGGGUUCGAAUCCCCCUCCUUUCA